rnacentral:lncRNA from 1 species
AAAUAGUGUAGGUAACUAGAGAUGAUGGGUGACUAUGAGGAAUUGGUGUUUUCUGAACACAGCAUAUGAACUCACCGCAGUUUUGAUGGCAUGUGCAAGACCUGUGCAAGUUCAAGCUAGACCAAACCCCAACAUGGAAAGAAGAGAUGGACAUCAAGCCCCAGCCUUUACCAAGAAGGUUAAAAUCCACAGAUUCAGUCUUCCAUGGUGUAGCCUCCCUCAGCCCUGAAGCAGGCCGAUCCAGACUUUGACCUUGCUGCCACUGAGAAGGAAAAUACCUAAGGUGGAGUCUUCCGACCUAGAUGGCUCUCUUGUUCUGCCACCUGCCACUGCUCUUUCCAAGACACUGCUACCUGCUGAGAGGCACCUGGUACAUUCCAGAGGAACAUCCUAUUCUGCACACCUCCUACAGACUGGCUCC